AUUGAACGCUGGCGGCAGGCCUAACACAUGCAAGUCGAGCGAGCGGCGGACGGGUGAGUAAUGUCUGGGAAAACGCCUGAUGGAGGGGGGUAACUACUGGAAACGGUAGCUAAUACCGCAUACCAUCAGAUGUGCCCAGAUGGGAUUAGCUAGUAGGUGGGGUAACGGCUCACCUAGGCGACGAUCCCUAGCUGGGCUGAGAGGAUGACCAGCCACACUGGGACUGAGACACGGCCCAGACUCCUACGGGAGGCAGCAGUGGGGAAUAUUGGACAAUGGGCGAAACCCUGAUGCAGCCAUGCCGCGUGUAUGAAGAAGGCCUUCGGGUUGUAAAGUACUUUCAGCAGAGAAGCGUUACCUGCAGAAGAAGCACCGGCUAACUCCGUGCCAGCAGCCGCGGUAAUUC
rnacentral:rRNA from 1 species